UUCACUAGUUUGCUCCAAUUGGGGAGGGGUGGUAGGGUUGGAGGGUAAUAAAGGAAAUAUAUAUAUAAAAAAAGAUAUGUGUAUGUAUGUGUACAGUUGAAGUCGGAAGUUCACAUACACCACUCCACUCUCUCUUGUUAACAAAUUAUAUUUUUUGGCAAGUUGGUUAGGACAUCUACUUUGUGCAUGACACAAGUAAUUCUUCCAACUAUUGUUUACAGAUUAUUUCACUGUAUCACAAUUCCAGUGGGUCAGUUUACAUACAAUAAUUUGACUGUGCCUUUAAAAAGCUUGGAAAAUUCCAGAAAAUUAUGUCAUGGCUUUAGAAGCUUCUGAUAGGCUAAUUGACAUCAUUUGAGUCAAUUGGUGGUGUACCUGUGGAUGUAUUUCAAGGCCUACCUUCAAACUCAGUGCCUCUUUGCUUUGUAUUGUUGUGAUCAUUGUGUUUACUUGAUAGCUACCAACACAAAUAGUUAGCUAGAACAAAGUGUUAAUAAAAUACAAAUUCAUAAAAAAAAAUUAAAGCAAUACAGUACAAAUAGUAGCCAGUCUUCCUCACUGUGAGUGCUCUGCCUCAGCCCUGCUGUAUUCCUCCAUCUUCCAUUCCUGUCACACUUCAGGCAACUCGUCAAAUUAUGUUCUCAGAAGAUCAGGAAUUGGCAACCAGGUGAAACAAAAAAGGCAGUACUGUGUCCAGAUGCAUUUUUCAGACAAAAAUAUUAGCCUGCUAGCUAGCUAGUUAGCCAAGCCAAAAAGAUAGUUAGCCAGCCAAAAACGUGUCAGUCAAUCUGUAAAUCCGUGGCUCAAAAACACAAUAUGUAUACAAUAAAAACUCAAUAUUAUUCAAACCAAAAGAGCUUAUUUAAAAUCAACAAAACACUGUUUAGGGAGCCUGUACAAGCUGUGUUGAAGCACAUAGCUCAGUGGCCCCCUAUGUGUUCUUCUGUCCCAGGGUGUUUCAGAUCAGUCAGGUGCCCCUGAUUGUCCCGGGGGUGUGGAGACCCUACCUGUCCACCAUGGUGCCUGACCUGUGGCUCAACGAGGGAGGACAGAGUGCUACUGGAAGACUAGUCAGUUCCGCUCUGCGCCACCUGGGUCCUGCUAGAUCAGGCUUAUUCAACUACAGGCCCUUGGCCCUGCAGAGCUGCUGUUUUGCUGGGGUUCUCUCUUCUCCAUACCUGAUUGACCAUGUGGUGAAAGGUCAUGCAGCCUACCCCAAGCUGCAGAAAGAGGCUGUGAAAAGAUCAGCUUAUUUACAGCAAAAUCAUAUCCACCAAAACAACAACAUACCUUUAACCUGGAACAGGCCCCCAUUAACAUUGACGGGGCUGUAGGGGAGUGGGUGGAGAGUUUCAAGUUCCUUGGUGUCCACAUCACCAACAAACUAUCAUGGUCCAAACACACCUUCAAGAGACUGAAAAUAUUUGGCAUGCGUCCCCAGAUCCUGCGUCCCCAGCUGCACCAUCGAGAACAUCCUGACUGGUUGCAUCACCUCCUGGUAUGGAAACUGCUCGGCAUAUAACCGCAAGGCCUAACAGAAGGCAGUGCAUAUGGCCCAGUACAUCACUGGGGCCAAGCUUCCUGUCAUCCAGGACCUACAGUGCCUUGCAAAAGUAUUCACCCCCUUGGCAUUUUUCCUAUUUUGUUGCAUUACAACCUGUAAUUUAAAUGGAUUUUUAUUUGGAUUUCAUGUCAUGGACAUACACAAAAUAGGCCAAAUUGGUUAAGUGAGAAAAAAAAAACGGAAAAGUGGUGCGUACAGAUGUAUUCACCCCCUUUGCUAUGAAGCCCCGAAAUAAGAUCUGGUGUGACCAAUUACCUUCAGAAGUCACAUAAAUAAUUAAAUAAAGUCCACAUGUGCAAUUUAAAUGUCACAUGAUCUGUCACAUGAUGUCAGUAUAUAUACACACCUGUUCUAAAAGGCCGCAGAGUCUGCAACACCACUAAGCAAGGGGCACCAAACAAGCGGCACCAUGAAGAUCAAGGAGUUCUCCAAACAGGUCAGGGACAAAGUUGCGGAGUACAGAUCAGAGUUGGGUUCAAAAAAAAUAUCAGAAACCAUUAAAACCAUUGUUAAAAAAAAUGGAAAGAAUAAUGCACCACAACAAAUCUUCCAAGAGAGGGCCGCACACCAAAAGUCACGGACCAGACAAGGAGGGCAUUAAUCAGAGAGGGAACAAAGAGACCAAAGAACCCUGAAGGAGCUGCAAAGCUACACAGCGGAGAUUGGAGUAUCUGUCCAUAGGACCACUUUAAGCCAUACACUCCACAGAACUGGGCUUUACGGAAGUGGCCAUAAAAAAAAGACAUUGCUUAAAGAAUUUAUUUUGUUGUUGUUGUUGUUGUUGUUGUUGUUGUUGGCAAAAGACAUGUGGGUGCCUCCCCAAACAUAUGGAAGAAGGUACUCUGGUCAGAUGAGACUAAAAUUGAGCUUUUUGGCCAUCAAGGAAAACGCUAUGUUUGGCACAAACCCAACAUCUCUCAUCACCCCGAGAACAGCAUCCCCACAGUGAAGCAUGGUGGUGGCCGCAUCAUGUUGUGCGGAUGUUUUUCAUCAGCAGGGACUGGGAAACUGGUCAGAAUUGAAGGAAUGAUGGAGCUAAAUACAGGACAAUUCUUGAGGGAAACCUGUUUCAGUCUUCAAAGAUUUGCGAUUGGGACGGAGGUUCACCUUCCAGCAGGGCAAUGACCCGAUGCAUACUGCUAAAGCAACACUUUAAUGGUUUAAGGGGAAACAUUUAAAUGAGAAUCUGUGGUAUGACUUAAAGGAGCUGGAGCAGCUUGAAGGAGCUGGAGCUGUUUUGCCUUGAAGAAUGGGCAGAAAUCGAAGUGGUAAUAAAAAAUAUUUCGUAUCUUCAAAGUGGUAGGUAUGUUGUGUAAAUCAAAUGAUACAAACCCCCCAAAAAACCUAUUUUAAUUUCAGGUUGUAAGGCAGCAAAAUAGGAAAAAUACCAAGGGGGGGUGAAUACUUUUGCAAGGCACUGUAUAUACUAGGCGAUGUCUGAGGAAGGCCCAAAAACUGUUUUAAGAAUCCAGUCACCCAGGUCAUAAGACUGUUUUCUCUGCUUCCGCACAGCAAGUGGUACUGGAGUGCCAAGUCUAGGUCCAAAAGGCUCCUUAACAACUUUUACCCAAGCCAUAAGACUGCUGAACAAUUAAUAAAAUAUCCACCCGGACUAUUUACAUCAUACCGGGUGUAUUUCUUAUGUUACAGUGCCUUCAGAAAGUAUUCAUACCCUUUGACUUGUUCCAUAUUUUGUUGUGUUACAGUCUGAAUUCAAAAUAGAUUAAAUAUAUUUUUCUCAUCCAUCUACACACUUAAUAACAAAGUGAAAACAAGUUUUUAGAAAUGUUUGCAAUUGUAUUGAAAAUGAAAUACAGAAAUAUCUCAUUUAUUCACACCCCUAAGUCAAUGUUAGAAUCACCUUUGUCAGUGAUUACAGCUGUGAGUCUCUUAAAUGAAGAGCUUUGAACACCUGGAUUGUGCAAUAUUUGCACAUUAUUCUUUUUAAAAAUUCUUCAAGCUCUGUCAAGUUGGUUGUUGAUCAUUGCUGGACAGCUAUUUUCAAGUCUUACCAUAGAUCUUCAAGUCGAUUUAAGUCAAAACUGUGACUAGGCCACUCAGGAACAUUCAAUAUUGUCUUGGUAAGUAACUCUAGUGUAUAUUUGGCCUUGUGUUUUUGAUUAUUGUCCUGCUGAAAGGUGAACUUGUCUUCCAGUGUCUUUUGGAAAGCAGACUGAACUAGGUAUUCCUCUAGGAUUUUGCCUGUGCUCAGCUCUAUUCAGUAUCUUUUAUAUCCCCAAAAAAACUCCCUAGUUAUUGCCGAUGACAAGCGUACCCAUAACAUGAUGCAGCCACCAACAUGCUUGAAAAUAUGAAGUUAUACUCAGUGAUGCAUUGUGCUGGAUUUGCUUCAAGCAUAAUACUUUGUAUUCAUGGCAUAAUGUUCAAUUUUUGCAGUUUUACUUUAGAGGCUUAUUGCAAACAGGGUGCAUGUUUCAGAAUAUUUUUAUUCUGUACAGGCUUCUUUUUACUCUGUCAUAUAAAUGUUAUACAUUUUAGUAAUUUAGCAGACAUGCUUAUCCAGAGAUACUUAUAGGAGCAAUUAGGGUUAAGCGCCUUGCUCAAGGGCACAACAACAUAUUUUCAACUAUCUUGCUUGAGGAUUCAAACCAGCAUCUUUGGUACAACGCUUUUAACCACUAGGCUACCUACCACCCUCCAUUUAGGUUUGUAUUGUGUAGUAACUACAAUGUUGUUGAUCCAUCCUCAGCCAUUAAACUCUGCAACUGUUUUAAAGUCACCAUUGGCCUCCUUCCUCUCCGGCACCUGAGUUAUGAAGGACGCUUGUAUCUUUGUAGUGACUGGGUGUAUUGAUAAACCAUCCAAAGUGUAAUUAAUAACUUCACCAAAGGGAUAUCUACCAAUAGGUGCCCUUCUUUGCGAGGCAUUGGAAAACCUAACCUGGUCUUUGUGGUUGAAUCUGUGUUUGAAAUUCACUGCUCGACUGAGGAACAUUACAGAUAAUUGUAUGUGUGGGGUACAAAGAUGCGGAAGUCAUUAAAAAAUUGUGUUAAACGCUAUUAUUGCACACAGAGUGAGUCCAUGCAACUUAUUAUGUGACUUGUUAAGCAACAUUUUCCUCCUGAAGUUAUUUAGGCUUGUCAUAACAGAGUUUGAAUACUUAUUGACUCAAGACAUUUCAGCUUUUCAUUUGUAAUUUCAAAAAUGUUCUAUAAACAUAAUACCUCUGACAUUAUUGGCUAUUGUGUGUAGGCCUGUGACACAUCUCAGUUGAAUCCAUUUGAAAUUAUUUCUGAAGGCACUGCAUAAACCUUGAACUUAAGACUAUAUCAACAAUGCACUAAUGAAACAAAUACCAAAAUAUGGUUUUUGGGUGGAGUUUUCCUUUAAGUCGUAUGUACUGUGUGCCUGUAGGCGCCUGAACCCACUAAUCUAGUAAGAGCAUGGGUUCGUUUGUUUUAACUUUCUGGCUUAGUUAGAACAAACCCCUUGGGCAAACCAGUUUUUCUAGCUUGGUAACAUUUUUGCUUGAAAUAAUGUCUGUCCACUUGUGAUUUAUUAAUGAUCAGAGGCAUUAUAUACAGUGUCUUGUGAAAGUAUUGGGAUAUGUCUCUAUAAGAUGUUGGGAUGACAUCUAUGGGAUGUUCAAAGUUUCUGAUAUUUUUUUUAUAACCCAACACCGAUCUGUACUUCUCCACAACUUUGUCCCUGACCUGUUUGGAGAGCUCCUUGGUCUUCAUGGUGCCACUUGCUUGGUGGUGCCCCUUGCUUAGUGGUGUUGCAGACUCUGGAGCCGUUCGGAUCAGGUGUAUAUUUACUGAGAUCAUGUGACACUUAAAUAAAGUCCACCUGUGUGCAAUCUAACUAAUUAUGUGACUUCUGAAGGUAAUUGGUUGCACCAGCUCAUAUUUAGGGGCUUCAUAGCAAAGAGGGUGAAUACAUAUGCAUGCAAUACUUUUCCAUUUUUUUUUUUUUUAAUUGAAACAAGUUAUUUUUUUUUCAUUUUACUUAACCAAUUUGGCCUAUUUUGUGUAUGUCCGUUACAUGAAAUCCAAAUUAAAAUCCAUUUCAAUUACAGGUUGUAAUGCAACAAAAUAGGAAAAACACUAAGAGGGAUGAAUACUUUUGCAAGGCACUGUAGUUCCAAUAGCUGCUAAGAAGCUGAAUUACUUGAUACACUUUACAAAAUAGAUUGCUAAUGAAAAAGCACCAUGCUACACAGAGAAUUGACAGACAACAUACACUCCCGUACAUAUGCAUUUAGGCUGUGAUGCUAAAAUGUUACAUUUGUCUCUAUACUCCAACAUUGGAUUUGAGAUCAAAUGUUUCAUAUGAGGUGACAAUACAGAAUGUCACCUUUUUAUUUGUGUAUUUUCAUGCAUAUCUGCUUUCCAUUUAGAAAUGGAAGCACUUUAUAGAUCUAGUCCACCCAUUUGAAGAUGCCAUAAGUAUGUGGACAAAUUUCACUUAUAGUGUAGUAGUACAAAGUGUAUUUGGUCCCAUAAUCCUAACACACAAUGACAACAUCAAGCUUGUGACUCUACAAACUCGUUGGAUGCAUGUGCAGUUUGUUUUGGGUAAUGUUUUCCCAAAUAGGAACUGAAUGGUGAAUGAGUAUAUAAGGUGUUUCUGAACGCUUCUAAAUCAAACCUGAUAAUGCCAUUAUUAUUCAUGAUUCAUUCAGGAUUGUUCUUAAUGAGGAAUGAGAACGUUAGAGGCUACAUCAAAGCAUGCUAAUCUCUCAUCAUUACCAAUAAUGGGGCAGAUUUGCAUUUUUGGGGGGGGCGGGGUAUGACUUUUUCCUUCUGUAACUUUCUUACUCAUCCUUCACGAUUAUCCAUAAUCAUGAUAACUUCUACAUGAAUGUGGAUGCUUUCACAAACAUCUUCUUACUUACAAUAAAAGUAACUCCAAAAUGACAAUAUGUUAUUCACCAUUCACAAGUCACAAGCUUGAUGUAGUCAUUGUGUUCUGUGUGCAAGGAAUAUGUAACCAAAUACCAAACUUGACUACUUUAAUACACUAUGGGUUCUAUAUUCGGCUGGCAUUGAGGCGCAAGUGUCAAACACACGUUAGUUUUCAAUUUCGUCAUAAAAAAAAAUACAAAUAGAAUGCGCCCUGGCAUUUUCCAGCCCUUAACGCCAGGUUAAGCAAUUUACCUGCCAAACAUCAACUCGUUUGCCCUGAGAUGGGAAGGGUGGACAUGUUUUAGGUGUGUCCUUGAAGCAGCAAUCAGCAGUUGAAACAAUAACAAAGCUCACUCCCCAACCAUUUCGGUAAAAAGAUGAGGAAUGGGGCUUGAGAAACGUAACCACUAAAAUACAUAGACAGAACUACGGAUUCAAGGACUGACCAGUCAUGGUAUCAACUUUAUGGUUUUAAACUGAUUUGCUGCUAUAUGGUGUUUGUUAACAUUUACUUUGUCUACAAACAAUGGAGUAAAAUAAAUAUAUUUUGGGUAGUGAUGGGGUAUGACAGUUGAACUAAACUCAUGAAGCAUUUAUGAGUUAAAUUCUUCCAGAAUAUGAUUAAUUUAUAAAUCCAAAAAUGGAUGUAGCAUCUGCAGAUUGAGCUUUUUUUUACAUUUGCAAAAGUGACAAUUUCAUGCAGUGCUAAUGCGAUGUUUCAAGACCCACAAAAAGCAGGUCUUAUCAGUAACGCAGUUGAUAUAAUGGCAUGGAUUUUGAGAGCAGAAGCGCAGCCUAUUCAGCCAUGACAUACAGUGCCCAUGGGAAGAGAAAAGUGCCUUUUGUGCCAAUGAAUCCUCCCCCCCUCAUUUAAUUUAAUUUGAAUAAAAACCAAGCAUAGCCUACCCACCUCUUAAUCAAUGCUGGUUUAGCAGCAUUGGAUGUGUCUAUUUUUAUCCUGGGCAUUCAGCCAACUAGCCUAUGAAUAAAGGAGUUUUAAAUGGUC